rnacentral:rRNA from 1 species
GAUAAACGCUGGCGGCGUGCCUAACACAUGCAAGUCGCACGCGCUUCGCAAGAAGCGAGUGGCGGACGGGUGAGUAACACGUGGGAACCUGCCCUGGGGUGAGGAAUACCGGCGAGAAAUCGCCGACAAGACCGCAUAGGCUCGGCAACGAGCAAAGCCUUUUUUCGGAGAGGCGCCACAGGAGGGGCCCGCGGCCGAUUAGCUAGCUGGUGGGGUAACGGCUCACCAAGGCGACGAUCGGUAGCUGGUCUGAGAGGAUGAUCAGCCACACUGGGAU